rnacentral:rRNA from 1 species
UACGUAGGGGGCAAGCAUUGUCCGGAUUUAUUGGGCGUAAAGAGCGUGUAGGCGGCUUUACAGGUCCGUUGUGAAAACUCGAGGCUCAACCUCGAGACGCCGGUGGAAACCGUAAGGCUAGAGUCCGGAAGAGGAGAGUGGAAUUCCUGGUGUAGCGGUGAAAUGCGCAGAUAUCAGGAAGAACACCCGUGGCGAAGGCGGCUCUCUGGGACGGUACUGACGCUGAGACGCGAAAGCGUGGGGAGCGAACAGG